rnacentral:tRNA from 2 species
GUACCACUAGCUCAGCUGGAUAGAGCGUUUGGCUACGGACCAAAAGGUCAGGGGUUCGAAUCCUCUGUGGUACGCCA